GGGCCCGCACAAGCGGUGGAGCAUGUGGUUUAAUUCGAUGAUACGCGAGGAACCUUACCAGGGCUUAAAUGUAAGUUGCAUUAGUUAGAGAUAGCUAUUUCUUCGGACUACUUACAAGGUGCUGCAUGGUUGUCGUCAGCUCGUGCCGUGAGGUGUCAGGUUAAGUCCUAUAACGAGCGCAACCCCUGUUGUUAGUUGCCAUCGAGUCAUGUCGGGAACUCUAACAAGACUGCCGGUGCAAACCGUGAGGAAGGUGGGGAUGACGUCAAAUCAUCACGGCCCUUACGUCCUGGCUACACACGUGCUACAAUGGCCGGUACAAAGGGCAGCGAAGCCGCAAGGUGGAGCG
rnacentral:rRNA from 1 species